GACGAACGCUGGCGGCGUGCUUAACACAUGCAAGUCGAGCGGGCGUAGCAAUACGUCAGCGGCAGACGGGUGAGUAACGCGUGGGAACGUACCUUUUGGUUCGGAACAACCCAGGGAAACUUGGGCUAAUACCGGAUAAGCCCUUACGGGGAAAGAUUUAUCGCCAAAGAUCGGCCCGCGUCUGAUUAGCUUGUUGGUGAGGUAACGGCUCACCAAGGCGACGAUGGGUAGCUGGUCUGAGAGGACGAUCAGCCACACUGGGACUGAGACACGGCCCAGACUCCUACGGGAGGCAGCAGUGGGGAAUCUUGCGCAAUGCGCGAAAGCGUGACGCAGCAACGCC
rnacentral:rRNA from 1 species